ACCCAAAACUCCCUAAAGCUCUGCACUCCGCCGCGUUGAAAUCCCUUUUCCUCGCGAAUAUCAGGUAUGAAGCAUCGCUGACAAAAUCUCUGAAGCUCAAAUUUACUUUGAAAUCCCUCUUUUUCUGUUCACAGCCACAACUUCAACCUCUCUUCCGUUCCUUCUUGGAAAUACAAAUCCACGUCCAGUAAGAGUCCAUUUUCUAUUUCUUAUUCUUCUUCCUCUCACACAUACGACGUCGUCAUAGUGGGGGCUGGCGUUAUUGGCUUAACCAUUGCUCGCCACUUUCUCCUUUCUUCCGACCCUUCUAUCGCCAUUGUCGAUAAGGUUGUCCCUUGUUCCGGUGCCACUGGCGCAGAUGAGUGAAGAGGUGGAGCGUGCUUUGGCAAAGUUAGGUCCCGCAAGAAUUAAUGGAAGGCGUCAUUGGCAGCUUCUUGUUAUGUCUAUGCAAGAGAACUAUGCUUUGUGGUCCUGCUCAUUGCACAUGCCUCCUCCCACACAUCUCAGAAAAGCAAUUGAUUGUUCUAUUCCAACAAGUAUGAUGAUGGUUGGCAGAUCAAUUGUUAAC